rnacentral:rRNA from 1 species
GACCUGCGGAAGGUCAUUAUUGAAUAAGCUUGAACAGGCUGUUUUGCUGGCCCUCUGGGGCAAGUGCACGCUUGUCGUCUUUAUUUCUCCCCAACUGUGCACAUAUUGUAGACCCUGGAUUGAGGAUUGCACUGUGUGCUUUCCUUGCAUUUUUUUUCCAGGUCUAUGUUGUUUUACAAUCUCAGAAUGUUGUCAGAAUGUCGGAUUGGAAAUAAUGAAAAUACAACUUUCAGCAAUGGAUCUCUUGGCUCUCGCAUCGAUGAAGAACGCAGCGAAAUGCGAUAAGUAAUGUGAAUUGCAGAAUUCAGUGAAUCAUCGAAUCUUUGAACGCAUCUUGCGCUCCUUGGUAUUCCGAGGAGCAUGCCUGUUUGAGUGUCAUCACAUUCUCAACCACAACAAAAUUCUUCUUUUGGUGUGGCUUUGGAUAUGGGGGAUUUCUUUUUUUGCAGGCUUCUGAAAAAUAAAGUCGGCUCCCCUGAAAUGUAUUAGUGGUAUCUGAGGCAGGAGACUACUAUGGGUGUGAUAAAUCUAUCUAUGCCUUGGUACAACUGCUAUGCCGCUUCUAGCGAGAGUGCAUUUGACAAAUUUGACCUCAAAUCAGGUAGGACUACCCGCUGAACUUAA